CCAUCCAGCAGUUUCACUGCUGCAGUGCUGCUCAAGAGAGCAGUGAAUGGGGCAGGCAGGGGGAAGGCUGCGCUGAGUGAGGGCUGGGCCAUGGCUCUGAGCAUCAAGAAAAUCCUGACUGAGCUGGGCAUCCUGCAAUAUGUGCUGAAGGCGAGUGACCAGUCAGUGAAAGUGUAGCCUCUGCACCUGCUCCCAGUCUUGAUGUUCCCCCUGCCAGGAGGUGUGGAAGAGAUCUACCCUUUGUAAAUAAGUUAAUAAAUUGUUUGUUUGUCUUUAGAAA